CUAGACGGUCGUCUAACUAACAACCGGUUGUUGUGUAAAAGCUUUAAAUGUUUUAAAAGAAAAUUUGUGGAAAAUAAGAAAGAGAUUACAAAAACGAAAGUGAAAAUAUUAAAGAGUGUUUUUUGCUAGGAAAAAGGAUAUAGUUGCAUGUUCAAUGAAAACAGACUUGCAACAUGUUUGUUAUAAGGUUUAAGCAAAUAUAAACUGGUAUGAAGAAAAUACGUUUUUACUUGUAUUAAACACUAACAGUUAAAUUGGAUGCUUAAUGAACAGUUAGUCUACGUGGGUUACUUGUCGGUUAAAGCUUAAAGUUAACGGAAUAUGAAGAAUAUAAUAGAAAAACAAUUUAUUUGAAAAUAAGUAAAUAAAUUAUAUAAAAAGUGCUUAAGGAAAAGAAAAUUGUAAAUAUUUACAAUGUGAAUUCAAAAAAAAAAGUGAAAAAAUAUACAAAUUACUAUAUUUUGAAAAGUAUCUUAUAGUUUUAUGUAGAAAAAACAACAAUAAAUAAGAUACACCUUUUCUGAAAAUGUAAAUCCACAGGCGUUGCCACAGAAUACAAGAAAAUAAUGUAAAUAAAUCUAAAAAACGAACAAUUUACCACAUACAAGUUUCUCAACUAA